AUUGAACGCUGGCGGCAGGCCUAACACAUGCAAGUCGAGCGAGCGGCGGACGGGUGAGUAAUGUCUGGGGAUCUGCCUGAUAGAGGGGGAUAACUACUGGAAACGGUGGCUAAUACCGCAUACUAUCGGAUGAACCCAUAUGGGAUUAGCUAGUAGGUGGGGUAAAGGCUCACCUAGGCGACGAUCCCUAGCUGGUCUGAGAGGAUGAACAGGCACACGGGGACUGAGACACGGCCCAGACGCCUACGGGAGGCAGCAGUGGGGAAUAUUGCACAAUGGGCGCAAGCCUGAUGCAGCCAUGCCGCGUGGAUGAAGAAGGCCUUAGGGUUGUAAAGUACUUUCAGCGGGGAGGCGUUACCCGCAGAAGAAGCACCGGCUAACUCCGUGCCAGCAGCCGCGGUAAUUC
rnacentral:rRNA from 1 species